rnacentral:tRNA from 1 species
GAGGUCUUAGCUUAAUAAAAGCGUCUAAGUUGCAGUUAGGUGAUGUAAGUUAUAGUUUUGCAGGCCUUC